CACGUAGGGUGCAAGCGUUGUCCGGAAUUAUUGGGCGUAAAGAGCUCGUAGGCGGUGUGUCGCGUCGGCCGUGAAAACCUGCAGCUUAACUGUGGGCUUGCGGUCGAUACGGGCAUCACUGGAGUUCGGCAGGGGAGACUGGAAUUCCUGGUGUAGCGGUGAAAUGCGCAGAUAUCAGGAGGAACACCGGUGGCGAAGGCGGAUCUCUGGGCCAUUACUGACGCUGAGGAGCGAAAGCGUGGGGAGCGAACAGG
rnacentral:rRNA from 1 species